AGAGUUUGAUCCUGGCUCAGAACGAACGCUGGCGGAAGGCUUAACACAUGCAAGUCGAGCGCGCCCUUCGGGGUGAGCGGCAGACGGGUGAGUAACGCGUGGGAACGUACCCUUUGGUUCGGAAUAGCCCUUGGAAACGAGGAGUAAUGCCGGAUAAGCCCUACGGGGGAAAGAUUUAUCGCCGAAGGAUCGGCCCGCGUUAGAUUAGCUAGUUGGUGGGGUAAAAGCCCACCAGGGCGACGAUCGAUAGCUGGUCUGAGAGGAUGAUCAGCCACACUGGGACUGAGACACGGCCCAGACUCCUACGGGAGGCAGCAGUGGGGAAUAUUGGACAAUGGGGGCAACCCUGAUCCAGCCAUGCCGCGUGAGUGAUGAAGGCCUUCGGGUUGUAAAGCUCUUUCAGGUGGGACGAUGAUGACGGUACCACCAGAAGAAGCCCCGGCUAACUUCGUGCCAGCAGCCGCGGUAAUACGAAGGGGGCUAGCGUUGUUCGGAUUUACUGGGCGUAAAGCGCGCGUAGGCGGUCAUGCCAGUCAGGGGUGAAAGCCCAGGGCUCAACCCUGGAACGGCCUUUGAUACUGCAUGACUUGGGUUCGGGAGAGGGGCAUGGAAUUCCCAGUGUA
rnacentral:rRNA from 1 species